UACGAGAACCCCAAGCGUUAUCCGGAAUCAUUGGGCGUAAAGGGUGUGUAGGCGGCGAUGUUAGUCUCCUGUCAAAUUCUUCGGCUUAACCGGGGGCUUGCAGGGGAAACGGCAUGGCUCGAGAGUGCGAGAGGUGAAUGGAACUCAUGGAGUAGGGGUAAUAUCCGUUGAUAUCAUGGGGAACACCGAAAGCGAAGGCAAUUCACUGGCGCAUUUCUGACGCUGAGACACGAAAGCGUGGGUAGCGAAUGGG
rnacentral:rRNA from 1 species